rnacentral:rRNA from 1 species
GAUCCUGGCUCAGGACGAGCGCUGGCGGCGUGCUUAACACAUGCAAGUCGAACGAGAGGACAAGAGAAGCUUGCUUCUUUUGGAAUCGAGUGGCAAACGGGUGAGUAACACGUAAACAACCUGCCUUCAGGAUGGGGACAACAGACGGAAACGACUGCUAAUACCGAAUACGCUUGGUAGACCGCAUGAUCUACCAAGGAAAGGGUGGCCUCUACCUGUAAGCUAUCGCCUGAAGAGGGGUUUGCG